CUGUCUCUCUCUGGUCUCUCUCCCCCCUACUGGUCUGACUGUCUCUCUCUGGUCUCUCUCCCCCCUACUGGUCUGACUGUCUCUCUCUGGUCUCUCUCCCCCAGUCCCUACUGCGGCGUCAGGGCGACCCGGACAACGGGACUCUCUGGUCCAACUCCUCCGAGUCGUCCGACGACUCGUCCAGCCCGGCGCUGGGGGGCCACGCCCACCGGCUGGCGGGGGCGUCGCCCGCGCUGCAGGCCACGCCCCCCCGACAGCUGUCCUUCGCCCCCCGCCAGCCCAGCACCUCCACGCCCUCGCUCUCGUCCAAUCAGGGGGAGGACGAGCCGGAGGAGGCUGGGCCGGAGGCGGGCUUCACCCAGAUGCUGGGGGCCCGCAGCUUCUCGGUGCCCAACGGCCACCUGCAGAGCUCCAAGUCGGACCCCCACCUGGGGGGGGUGGCGCCCCCACGAGCCCCCCCAGCCCCGCAGCACCUCCUUCCCCAGCGUCUUCUCCCCCAGCGCUGCCCUGCUGGGGGGGCGGGCCGACGUGCUGGCAGAGUGCCACUCGUCAGAGGAGAGCGUCUGCAGCCAGGGGGGGGGCCCAGGGGGGGGCCAGGACUCACCGGCCCCGGGCCCCGGAGAAGACAGAACCAGGGGGUCGGGGGGGCCGCUGGGCCGGAGCUUUGAGGAGGAGGAGCAGAAGGGUUCUGAGGAACACAAGGAGGAGGCGAAGACUGAGGAGACGCAAAGGGUCCGCUGCUCCAGCUCCUCCAGCUUCACCCAGGAGGUGGAGACGGCCCUGGAAAGCUUCGACUUCCUCAACUGCUCAGACCUCGACGAAGAGGAAGAGGAGGAGGAGGAGGAGGAGAAGCAGGGGAAGCAGGAGGAGGAGUGGGAGGAAGACCAGAAGGAGGAGAAGGAGGAAGACCAGAAGGAGGAGAGGGAGGAAGACCAGAAGGAGGAGAGGGAGGAGAAGCAGGAGGAGAAGAAGGAACAAGACAUAUCAGAGGAGGAGGAGAAGGGGGUUGAACGUGGCUCCGUGGACGAGGAUGAGGAGGAGCAGGAAGUGGAUGUGAAGGAGCAGGAAGUGGCUGUGGAGCAGAUCUACGCUGGUGACAGCGAUGACCACCAGGAGGGGGAGGGGGCGGAGCUAGACAUCCUCAUGGAGGCUCCGGAAGGCUUCCGCAACUCGGACGAGGACUGCUGCUACUUAUCGCAGGGGUCGAGUGCUGAGGACCUGCAGGAGGCCUGUGACGUGGAGACAGGGGCGCUGACCCAGGAGGAGGGUAAGGAGCUCAGAGGAGACUCAGACCAGUGUGAGGAGGGUCACGGAGGUUCACGGUCCCUUUCUGUUUGUCCUCAAGAGUCUGUCGGGAGGCGGGACUGUCCCUCUACCAGCACCACGGCCGCCGCAUACUCAUAA
rnacentral:lncRNA from 1 species